AGAACGAACGCUGGCGGCGUGCCUAACACAUGCAAGUCGAGCGCGAAAGUUCCUUCGGGAAUGAGUAGAGCGGCGCACGGGUGAGUAACACGUGGGUAAUCUGCCCUCAGGCCUGGAAUAACCAAAGGGAAACUUUGGCUAAUACCGGAUAAUACCACGGUACGAGAGUGCCGGGGGAAAAGCAGGGGACUUCUUCGGAAGCCUUGCACCAGAGGAUGAGCCCGCGGCCCAUCAGCUAGUUGGCGGGGUAACAGCCUACCAAGGCGACGACGGGUA
rnacentral:rRNA from 1 species